UACGGGGGGAGCAAGCGUUGUUCGGAUUUACUGGGUGUAAAGGGCGCGUAGGCGGCCACCGCAAGUCAGUUGUGAAAUCUCUGGGCUUAACCCAGAAAGGUCAACUGAUACUGCGGGGCUAGAGUGCAGAAGGGGGCAACUGGAAUUCUCGGUGUAGCGGUGAAAUGCGUAGAUAUCGAGAGGAACACCUGCGGCGAAGGCGGGUUGCUGGGCUGACACGUGACGCUGAAGCGCGAAAGCUAGGGGAGCGAACGGG
rnacentral:rRNA from 1 species